rnacentral:lncRNA from 1 species
AUAAAAUAGCUUGCUUUUUCGCAACCUUCCCUACAGGGUAAUGGGGAGUAUCUAGGAGUAUGAUUGGAGAUGCUUGUCAGUGCAUGACUUCUGGCAAAUUCUGAUCUUCUGAGUAAGACCCAGGCUGGUGGACACUGGGCUCUGAAUCAUCGCAGGUUACUUGUUCAACCGCAUUUUGCUCCUGGCUCCUCCUCUUGACCCUCCAGCUGCUCCUCCCAGCCUGGCUUGUCAGCUCUCCCCUCCUGUUUGAGGCCUCUUCCCCCAUUCCUCACUCCUCCUCCUCCAACCUGUGCCUCCCCUGCAGCCUCUCCCCAGAGCCUUGCAGCCAGAUGGCUUCAUUCUCCAUCGUGCAGGGUUGGGAGCACACCACGCCUCCUUCUGGCCUGGCCAGGGCCUCCUGGGUGCAGCCUCCAGUUAGCGUUCGCAGUACUAGAUGGUUUCUUCCUGGAAAAACAAAUGGAACAUAAGUUGAUGGAGUGUGAUAUCACUGAUUGGAAGUGGCCAGAAGGGAGCUGGGAAGAAUUUGACAGGCAGUUCUGCAUACUGGAACUCAUCUGUGUGAAUGUGUUUCAGCUGCCACACAAUCUUCAGAAGAUAUAUGAAAGUGACAAUUUACCCAAAGAAAGGAGAUCCAUGAGUUUUUAUCCACACUGACUGUAUACUUUUCUGAAACUGUAUAAUUUACUGAAAUCCCCAAAGAGACAAUGUUCUACAUGUAUUUCCCUAUCAGAACAGGCUGGCCUCUGCUGAACAAUCUAGGUACUAAACUCUUGGUGACCAAUAACUGGUGCCACAAACUAAAACCAGUGUGGCUCAGUCAAGUGCAAGCCUUUGAAAACAUGAGUGUCUUUUUUAGCAUGAGGGUGAGUUCACAGAACUGCUGAAUUUUUUCCUUGGCAUUUUAGUAACUUUGACUUAACCAUUUCAAUUUAUCCUUUAAAGUAAAUGGAGAUAUUCGGGAAGACAAAAAUCCUGCAAUUUAUAAGAAAAAUACAUUUCCUUGAAUGUGUAAAAUGGUGACUAAUUAUAGGAUAAUGUUUUUAUUUCUUUUUUAGCAGAACACUACUAAGCAAUAUUAUAUCAAGCUAUCACAUUUUGAGUUGCAUCUUCUUCAUAUGGCUGAACUACCAGCAAUGUAUGUACCAUAUGCACUGUACACGGUUAACUCUUGAUUUUCUAUUGUUCAGUGGGGUAGGAAACCUAUGGAGAGUAAUGAUGUGACCGGUCCCCAGAAAAAAACACCAAAACACAAUAAAACAUUGUAAAUCAGGCUGCUUAAUGUAGAUAGACUAAGGAACAACCAAAAAGGAAAUGCAGAAUGAAUGGCAGAUCCUGAUAUAUGUGUAUAUUCUAAAAUGUAUUGAUCUACUGCUGAAGUCAGAAAACAGGAAAGACAAAAAGACUGCAUUUGAUAUUGUAUAUUGUACUUCACUGAACAUUUGCAUGAAAUUUUUUUUUUUCUCCCAGUGAUUAACAAUUGUGUACUUUAAAAAUAUUUUUCUGUGUAUCUUGAUGAUUAUUUUGAUGAUUAUUUUUGAUGAUUAUAUAUUCCCCAUUCAGAUGUAAGAGCUAUUCUAAUAUCAGGAAGAAAAGACAACAUAGAUGACAGACUUGUAUCCACCAUGGAGAUAAUAAAAAAAUCAGAAGCAUUUGAGUAAUACAAACGUAUUGCUUACAGAGAACUAAAGAAAGUGUAAGUGCAACAUAUUCUUAAAUACUAUUGAGAAAUUGUUGAAUGUAUUUUUAUGUAGUUCUCUAGCUUUCAUCCAUUGCCAUCUCCAUUGUGGUGUGUAAUAGGCCUCUGACAUGCAUCUAUAGCCAUCAUGAUUUGUUACUCUGAUCAGCAUAUAAACAGAUCCUCCCAACUCCCAUCAGCUGAAGUUAAGUAUUAUUGUGAAUCACAGGUAUUCUGUUAACAGAUAACAACAAAAAUGAAUCAGAGUGAAACCCUUCACUUUAUGCUGUUAAAGCUAACAGGUCUGAAAUUAAAGAUAAUUACGUAUUAAAAUAGAGUGGGUAGCUCUGUUUUGAUUUAGAGAUACGAACAUGUCAGGCAAGCUCGUCUGCAACGGGAGAGAUUCAGUGCCCCGAAGUGAUGGAAGAGAAGAGCCCAAGAGAGCAUUCCUUGCAUUCCUGUGGCACUCAGCGUGUACAUAUGCCCCACAAAAAAGAAAAUCUUAGCACUCUGGGUUGGUAUGCUGAUCUUCAGAAAAACUGGUACUUCCAUGUAGCUGCAGGCUUGAUUAAUUUGAAGAAAUGAUACUCUCUGGAUGAUGAAUGUGAGGCAUAUUUAAAACUUAUUUUUCAGGGCAAAGGACAUUGUUUGUCCAAUGCUAGUUAAAAAUAAAAUUAUUCCCCAUAAGGACUACCAAUAAGCAACCAGAGGCAAGAUAUAGCUGGGAUGUGGAGCUCUCCCUCUUUCCCGUGGUCUGCCCAGAAUUAUACCCCACAUAUGGGUGGGCUUAGCCCAGAGAGUUAUCUUCGUUAAUGAACCAAAAGCAGGUUUCAUUCAAGAGGUUUAGUAGACUACUAUUUGAGGACACGGCCUGCUUGAGAGUCAUCCAUGUCUAAAAGCAUAGGGCUUUGUUUCCUGAGACAAGAAGUGUAUGUCAUGCAAGACAAAAACUGUUCUCCCUAUGAAUGUUCAUUGUUUUUCACAAAUAAAAAUAAAAACAAACGUGCUACCUUACAAUAAAAAUGUGCAAACCCUUAUUAGUGACUGAAAAUCAAUUCCAUCAGAUUUCUUCAUGUCAGUAUUAUUUACACUGCACAAUACGUAGCAGCAAAGGGUACACAUUGUUUACAAAAGCAAAUACAGUAACAGUUCUACAUUGCCGCUAACGACACAUUAAUAACAGCUCCCUGCUUAGCAUUUCUUAAGCUGCUGCUGUGCUGUGUU